AAGUCACGGGGGCCCGCAAGGGCAACCGGCGAACGGGUGCGUAACACGUGACCAACCUGCCUUUGUGUGGGGGAUAGCCGGGCUAACGCCCGGGUAAUACCGCAUACGGUCCUUUGGGGGAGUCCCUGGGGGAAGAAAGCUCUGGCGCACGAAGAGGGGGUCGCGGCCUAUCAGCUAGUUGGCGAGGUAAUGGCUCACCAAGGCGACGACGGGUAGCUGGUCUGAGAGGAUGGCCAGCCACAUUGGGACUGAGAGACGGCCCAGACUCCUACGGGAGGCAGCAGUGGGGAAUCUUGCGCAAUGGCCGAAAGGCUGACGCAGCGACGCCGCGUGUGGGAGGACGCCUUUCGGGGUGUAAACCACUGUUGCCCGGGACGAACAUCCACUUUCGAGUGGACUGACGGUACCGGGUGAGGAAGCACCGGCUAACUCCGUGCCAGCAGCCGCGGUAAUACGGAGGGUGCGAGCGUUGUCCGGAAUCAUUGGGCGUAAAGGGCGCGUAGGUGGCCCGGUCAGUCAGUGGUGAAAGCGCGGGGCUCAACUCCGCGUCGGCCAUUGAUACUGCUGGGCUGGAGCACUGUAGAGGCAGGCGGAAUUCCGGGUGUAGCGGUGGAAUGCGUAGAGAUCCGGAAGAACACCGGUGGCGAAGGCGGCCUGCUGGGCAGUUGCUGACACUGAGGCGCGACAGCGUGGGGAGCAAACA
rnacentral:rRNA from 1 species